rnacentral:rRNA from 1 species
GUCGACGGUGAAGCAGAGCUUGCUCUGUGGAUCAGUGGCGAACGGGUGAGUAACACGUGAGCAACCUGCCCCUGACUCUGGGAUAAGCGCUGGAAACGGCGUCUAAUACUGGAUAUGUGACGUGACCGCAUGGUCUGCGUCUGGAAAGAAUUUCGGUUGGGGAUGGGCUCGCGGCCUAUCAGCUUGUUGGUGAGGUAAUGGCUCACCAAGGCGUCGACGGGUAGCCGGCCUGAGAGGGUGACCGGCCACACUGGGACUGAGACACGGCCCAGACUCCUACGGGAGGCAGCAGUGGGGAAUAUUGCACAAUGGGCGGAAGCCUGAUGCAGCAACGCCGCGUGAGGGAUGACGGCCUUCGGGUUGUAAACCUCUUUUAGCAGGGAAGAAGCGAAAGUGACGGUACCUGCAGAAAAAGCGCCGGCUAACUACGUGCCAGCAGCCGCGGUAAUACGUAGGGCGCAAGCGUUAUCCGGAAUUAUUGGGCGUAAAGAGCUCGUAGGCGGUUUGUCGCGUCUGCUGUGAAAUCCGGAGGCUCAACCUCCGGCCUGCAGUGGGUACGGGCAGACUAGAGUGCGGUAGGGGAGAUUGGAAUUCCUGGUGUAGCGGUGGAAUGCGCAGAUAUCAGGAGGAACACCGAUGGCGAAGGCAGAUCUCUGGGCCGUAACUGACGCUGAGGAGCGAAAGGGUGGGGGAGCAA